UUCAAGAGUACGUGAAACCGUCCAGGGGUAAACCUGCGAAACUCGAAUGAACGAACGGAGAGAUUCAUCGUCACUCCUCGGCGCACUUGCGCGGCGACGAUGCCAGUCGGCCUCGUGUCGGCGGGCACGUCCCGCUCUCGUCGCGUCCGGGGACGGCGUGCACUUCUCUCUCAGUAAUACAUCGCGACCCGUUCGAUGUCGGUCUAAGUGCCCACCGGGAGUCUUCGCUCACGUUCGCGCGGGAGUGUAGACCGCGUGGUGUCCACCGACCGGCCGUCGGACGGUAUACGUUAAGAAACGCGCACGCGCUCUAGCGCGCGUCCGGCCCGACGCAAGGCAACGUCGUAUCCCGCGUCCUGCCCGAGUGCGGACGAGGGUGCGGCGCGCCUGUCGUCGCAGCCGUGCUGUCUCGGACCGUGCGCGUAUCCGUCUGCGAUGAUUCAGUUUCGGGCACUCGCAGGACCCGUCU
rnacentral:rRNA from 1 species